rnacentral:lncRNA from 1 species
CUUGAUGUCACCUUUGAGCCGCUUAGCUUGCGUCGAAGAUUUGGAGCUCAAGUAAUUCUCAAUAGCAGAAUAGGCCUCACUGCGCAUCAGACGCUCUCCUGUCAUCUCAUUGAAGGUAAUCUGGAUGUAAGGAUAAACAUAACCCACCAAUCUCUGUGAGUACUUUUCAAUGUGGUUUCGAAGUUGGUAAGGAAAGAAUUGUUGAAAGAUUGUCCACACAAACAGUAAGGCACCUAUUGUGGAACCUAGAUGAGCAAGCAUGUCUGCUGGAGCAUACAUGCUUCAACUCUGAGCCUUCUGUGUUUUGUGUGUUUUUAUUUGUUCAGAAUGAAAACACAAAUUUUGUGAAAGUUUAGGUGAAGAUUGUAUUGUUUGUAGGAAAAAGUGUGAGGGGAGUCGGUAUGGGACGUUUCUAUGUGAAUACAAUAAGCAUGCUGGUGUAGAAUUGACUGGUGGAUUUGUCUCCAUGCUUAGGGGUCGGCAAAGCCUAUUUGGACUCCUUUGGUUGCAAAUUGGGUUAAGCAAACCAACUGUAAACUACUAGGAAACACCCUGGAAACUUUUUGAAAAUUAUUAGGACCAUGACAUCAUAAUCUUUCAUUCAAACAUCAUGCACCUUCUGUCUUUAGCUUUUCUUCACCUUACUGAAUGAUACAGGUUCAUCCACAAAUUCACUCCUCUAUGGUCUUAGGGAAUCCAACACAAACAAUAUGGGGACAUGGGUUUUCCAGAUUUUCACCAUUAGUUGGUGAUUAGCAAUAAUUAAAUUGGUAGUUUCCUCAGUUUUACUUAAUAGACAUCCCACCCUUAUCACUAUGAGUCUAUGAUUGUGUAUAUAACUAUUUAUAUAUGCAUGUGAUUAUCAUACUGGUGUAUGUGAUUUUAUUGAAAGAGUGAACUACUCAAAGCUAUAUUAUCGGGACCAAAAAAAAAAAAAAAAAACCUCAUUUAUACUUAAUUUGAGGUAGCAGCAAUAAUAGUAACUUUGCUCAUUGCUGCAGGACAGAUGGAGAUGAUUUACCAAAGCUAAAGAGAGGGAUAGAUGGGGAUUGAAUGAUUGAAAGUGUACUGGUGCUUUCCCAAAUCUUGUGGUCAUUCAUGGUAAGCUCUCUAGCCUCCCAUUCUGAUAUUGUAGGCCCUAAUUAUGCUAUACCUUGUACUCUUGUAGCUUGCUUUGUGGACUCAAACAUCCUAUAUAUCUGACUAGCCAUAUGGAGUUAGGAAUUGAUUAGUUCAUGAAGCUUUUGCAUUCUACUUCUGUAUUUCAUAUAAAAGUUUUUCAGUUUUCACUGGCACAAGAGACCUAGAGUGAAUCCAUGCAUGCAACAUAAAAUUUCAAUCAGAGAAACAAAAGCAUAAAAAAGAUCAUUGGUUGCUAUGAAAAAAUGGUAAACAACUCCAUUACAUGAUUCUUAUUAAACAUUGGAAAAAACACAGUGAUUUGGAUAGAUAAUGGAACAGAUGGUUGUAGUUAUGCAGAUAAUUUAACUCUUUUCCUCAUUUUCAAUGGACAACUCCAUUUUCUUUCACAACUUGUUAUCUGUUCCGAUACUUUUGUCUUCAUCUUUAGCAGAUUCUUCUGUUUCCUUCUCUGCUUUCUCUGCCUUCAAAAUUGCUUCUUCCUCUGCCUUCAAUUUUGCUUCUUUCUUUGCCUUCACUUUUGCUUCUUUCUCUGCCUUCUUUCUUGCUUCUUCCUCAGCCUUCACUCUUGCCUCCUCCUUUGCAACCUCGAGAGCUUCAAUUAAGUUCUUCAAACAAGAGCUGGCAUCCUCUACAUUAGAUUUAGGCAUCAAAUUCUCUGCUACAUCAGCUGGAGUCAUGUUGGUCUCCCCCAAUAAGCAUUCAAUGCUUCCGAACAAUUCAUGCGAAUCUAAAUCCAAGUAGUUCCUUGCAAGAACUUUGAAAGCUUCGUAGCAACAAUAAGACAAUUCAAUAUGCUUGUCCAUCCUUCCUCUUCUUAUAAGAGCAGGAUCAAGUUUCUCCACAUAAUUAGUGGUAAACACAAUGAUCCUUUCACUUCCACAAGCUGACCAAAUACCAUCAAUGAAGUUCAAUAGCCCAGACAAAGUAACCUGCCUUGCUUUGCUUUCUUCUCCUUCCUUCAUUUUACGGAUCGGAUCCUUUAUUUCUUUAUCUUCUUCAUCUCUCUCCUUCCUUUUCUUUCGUUGCCCCGUAAGAUCAAGUGAGCAAUCAAUGUCCUCGAUCACAAUGAUAGACUUACUAGGCGUGUCAAUCAGCAGCUUCCUCAGAUCAGUGUUGCUCUUCACUGUCGUUAGCUCAAGAUCAUAAACAUCAUAGUUCAUGAGGUUAGACAUGGCAGCUAUCAUAGUGGACUUACCAGUGCCUGGUGGUCCAUACAGAAGAUAACCCCUUUUCCAAGGCUUCCCUAUUUUCGCAUAGUACUCCUUACCAUUGCUGAACUUCAUGAGGUCAUUGAUGAUGUCCUCUUUCUUUUUUGGCUCCAUUGCUAUGCUCUCAAAUGUUGCAGGGUGUUCAAAGGCUACGGAGCUCCAUUUCCUCGUUUUGUAUCCAGGAGGAUUGUUAAUGUAAAGCUUCCUUUGCCUAUGACUCACCGUUAUUGCCUUCCCUUCUUUUCUCGCAUGGUCAAUAUAAGUCCCUG